GACGAACGCUGGCGGCGUGCCUAAUACAUGCAAGUCGAACGCUGAAGGAGGAGCUUGCUUCUCUGGAUGAGUUGCGAACGGGUGAGUAACGCGUAGGUAACCUGCCCGGUAGCGGGGGAUAACUAUUGGAAAGGAUAGCUAAUACCGCAUAAUAGUCGAUGUUGCAUGACAUUUGCUGAAAAGUUGCACUUUCAUCGAUACCAGGUGGACCUGCGUUGUAUUAGAUAGUUUGUGGGGUAACGGCUCACCAAGGCGACGAUUCAUAGCCUACCUGAGAGGGGGGUCGGCCACACUGGGACGUGGACACGGCCCAGACUCCUACGGGAGGCAGCAGUAGGGGAUCUUCGGCAAUGGAGGGCAGGCUGGCCGAGCAACGCCGCGGGAGGGGAGAAGGGUUUCGGGUCGGAAAGCUCGGUUGUAAGAGAAGAACGAGUGUGAGAGUGGAAAGUUCACGUUGUGACGGUACCUUAACAGAAAGGGACGGCUAACUACGUG
rnacentral:rRNA from 1 species